UAUUUUAAAUUAUAAAUUGUUUUAUCUACCUAAGUACUAUGAACUUUUGUUUAAAAUUUAAAGGACUUGGCGGUGUCUUAGACUAUUUAGGGGAAUCUGUUUUUUAAUCGAUAGUCCUCGUUUUACCUUACCUUUUUUUGUAAUCAGUUUGUAUACCGUCGUCGUCAGUUAACUUUAUAGAAUAAAUAAGUUGUCUUUUUAAAUUUUAUUUUAGAUGUCAGAUCAAGGUGCAGCUUAUAAAUAGGUUAAAAUGGAUUACAAUUAUUUAUUUAUAAUAUGGAUAAUUUUAUGGAAUUGUUGUUUGAAGG
rnacentral:rRNA from 1 species